GGUUGUAAAGCCAUAAAUAGACCUAGGCUGAACAUAGCCAUGCCAAGGCCAGCAUCAGACAGUAUGGAAAUGGACUUCUCUAUUAUUUUAGGCAUAGCCACAUGCCACCUGCAAUUAAAUCCAAAUAUACAGAUAUCAAUCACAGUAACUUAAUUAUUUCCAAAAAAACUGAAUUUGUUUCAGAAUUUUGAUUAUAUAUUCACUCACCGGAAUGAAACUAGAGACCAAACCAGGCCAAUGAGACUGGAGUAUGUGUUUGGGUUCCGAAUCAAUUUGCGCCAAACCAUGAUCAAUAUCAGACGGGUCAUCACGCUCGCCGGAGGCAUAUGUUUGUUGGCUCCAGACUCUGGUGCUCCGGCGACCUUUGGGUGAAGCUCCGCCGUUGAGCUUGACCCUAGCUUGUUAAGUCCAGUGGGUCCCUCUUUUUCUCUCCCUUCCUCUUCUCCUUCUCCUUUACCAGCAAAACUAAAGUCUUCGCCAGGAAAUUCUCCAGCAUGUGCAAUGGCUUUGGUUUCCCCAUCUUGUGGGUGGUCAGCAACUAACAUUCUGAUCUCCUUGGCUCCCUGGUCUGACCGGCCAGAUUGCUGGGAUGCUCCGAAAUCAUUCCCGCCAAAUACAUCGGAGACCGGGGACGCACUGGAACUCCACACAAACAUGUGCAGCUCCUUAGCAUCAUGGUUUGCUUUCGAAUUUUGUUGCUGCUGUUGAGGCUGGUGCUGCUGCUGAUGAUUCUUGGUGUUCUUUGUGGAGACUGUUGAAGAAAAUUCUGUAUUUGGUGCUGGGUAAGAUGAUGGUACGGUCUGCCCCGGAUAAAACCCGAAUCUCGGAGAAGAAAUUGUAGCCAUUGGAGCACAAUUUUCUUCAAAAUUUGAGGGCCGAGGCGUUGGACCUCUUGAAGAUUGUACAGAAUACAAGUCUGCUGGGCCAAAAUUUGAUAGCCUUCCGCCAGGGAAUCCCUGAACUCCCAUCAUAUUAUAAAAGUCGGAAGUGUUAAAAUUAGAUCCUCUAGGAGUUGGAUUUCUCGAUGAACUCAAGCUGUAUAUCUCAGCUCCAGUAAGAUUCGACGGACGAGGAGUCAAUGCAGAGAAAGAACCAGGGCCCAAAGAUCGCCGAGAAGCAUUCGAUUUCCUCACUGUCACAUGUAGCUUCCCAUCAUCACCAAUCUCAGCAUCCGUUUCCAAGAAAUCUCUGCCGUCUAAGGAAACAACAUCAGAAUCCACCUUGAACGAAACAAUGGAAGCUGCAGUUUCAGGGAACUGCUCCAUGAUCAACAUCUUGGCUCCUCUGUACUCAAAAAGAAACAAAAGAAGAGUAUACCAAAUGAUACACUGCAAAACAACCACCUGAACCAUGAGGCUACCGGAGUACUCGCCGUACAUGGCAAUUAACAGAGGAAUGCCCAUGACCAGAGUGUUUGGAAGAGUAGACAAAGAGAAAAUUGUAAUCAUCCAUUCUAAACUUCCAUUUUUUGUGAAAUUAGUCCAAAUACCAAGAGCGACAAGCAUUAUAAUCUUUUGAAGCGUAUCGGCGGCAAUGAACCGGAAAUUCAUGGCGUAAGGAUCGUUGGUGGAGAUGAAAUGGAAAGACAGCAACGGCACAGCAAAUAUCGCCACGAACCGGUUGAUGCCGGAGCACUGGUCCGGGCUGAAAAUCUUCCACCACCGCACAGAGCCGUAGGCCAAGAUCAUGGCAACAUAGAGAGGAAUCACCGCCGUUAAAACGGUGUACAGAUCCUUCCAGCUAAUCAUGAUUAAUUAUUCUUGUCUCCCUCUGUAUCACUUCGAAAAGUAAAUUCAACAGAAGGGGAAGGACAAAAUGGGCUGAAACGAAGUAAAAAACCGUUAACUAAGUAACUACUCUGCACUCUGCAGCAGCUACACCUGCAGUGCACUGCUUCAGAUAGCUCUACAGAUAGAAAGAGAGAAGUAGGGCAGUGUUCUGAAGAGAGAGAGAGAUUGCCAAAGAGAGAUAUAUA
rnacentral:misc_RNA from 1 species